GGGCAUGUGACACACGUUUAUCAAAUGGUGCUACUGGAAUUCAUCUUCACAAAUUUGGUUAAGUGUUGAUUGUCCUUCCUUCCAUCCCUUGUUUUGUGGUGUAUUUUCCUUGGAUUUCCAGCCUUUAUAUCAUCAUAUUAUCACUGUAUCCAGCUCAAAAAUCUUUAUACAUAAUCACACACCACAAAUUAAAGAUCAUAACAACACAAUAUUCAUGAUGAUGAAUCAAGACACAAUCUAAAACUAGGCUAAUUCAAAAUGAUCUUCAACUUUAUGUUUUGACUCUUAACUUAAUCAAAUUGAACCGUGCACAUUACCAAUACAUUAUUCAUCUCAUAAUUACACAUUAAAACCAUUUGGAACUCCUUUCACACAUUAUAAUCAAACGAAACCAACUAGCCAAGCACCUACCUCAAGCUAGUAAAACUAGUUAUCUCGAUUGAACUCUGAAUGACUCAACUAAGCACAAACUUGUUUGGAAAACACUUAGAACAUUGUAAUCACAUCCUUUGACACUUAGAUACAUAUUAAUAUCCUUAUCAACCCAUAUAGCACAUGAAUCAUCCUCAAAACAAGGCUAUAAAAGACUAGAAUAGUGAACUAGAAUGCAUAAAUUCACCUAACAUUACCCUACCUCCUAAACCAUAGGAUAUAGCACACCAAUUUUGCCCGAGAAUGCCCCAUUCACGCUGUUUCACCAGUUUGACUACCCAAAUGGCCCCGCACACCCCAAUAAUCCAUACUACAAUGAUCCCAAACCUUCUUGGCAUAACUUGGUUGAUUUUUGGCUUGCAACACGCUUGGACCUCGGGCCCACCCCUAUAAAUGUGGGCUAUAGCUCAUUGAUUUGGCCUAAAAAUGCCCCAUUCAUCCUUUUUCACCUAUUUAACCACCCAUAUGGCCCCACAAACUCCAAUGGCCAGCACUAGGAUGAUCCCUAUCCUCCCUGUCAUGCCCUAGUGAAAUUUUGGCCCACAGCACACCCCAACCAAGGCCCACUACUAGAACCGUGGGCUAUAGCACACCAAUUUGGCCCAAAUAUACCCCAUUCACGUUGGUUUGCCUAUUUGACCACCUAAAUAGCCUCGUACACCCCAACGAACCAUACUAGGACAAUCUCCAUCCUUUAUGGCAUGCCUUGGCCAAUUUUUGGCCCACAACAUACCCGAACCUCGAGCCUAUUACCGAAACCAUGGGUUAUAGCAUAAUGAUUUUGCCCAAAAGUGCCCCAUUUAUGCCAUUUUAACUAUUUGAUUACCCAACUGAACCUGCACACCCAAACAUCCUAUACUAGGCUGAUCCCCAACCUCUCUGGCAUGUUUCAAUUGAUUUUUGACCCAUAGUAUUCCCAAACCCCGAGCCCACCCCUAAAACCGUGGGCUAUAGCACACCAAUUUAGAAGAAAAAUGCCCUAUUCACCCGUUUGACCAUCCAAAUGAACCCUCUCACCCCUACGACCUUUUCUAGGACAAUUCCUAACCUCCCUAGCAUGCCUCGGUCAAUUUUUGGACCAUAAUAUGCCCAGACCCCCAUCCCACCCCCAAAACUACAGGCUAUAGCACACCAAUUUAGCCCAAAAGUGACCCGUUCACGCCGUUUUGCCUCUUUGAUCACCCAAAUGGCCCCGUCUACCCCAAAGCCAUACUGAGCCAAUUUCCAACCUCUAUGACACACCUCAAUCAAUUUUUAACCCACAGUACAAAUGAACCCCGAGCCCAUCCCUUAAAUCAUGGGCUAUAGCAUACCAAUUUUGCUUAAAAAUGCCUUAUUUGCAUUAUUUCACCCAUUUAACCACCUAAAUAUCCCCGCCCACCCCUAAAAACCACACUAGGACAAGCCUCAUCCUCUCUGGAAUGCCCUGGUAGAUUUUUGGCUCACAGCAAGCCCUGACCUCGGGCUUACCCCUAGAAUCAUGGGCUCUAGCACAGUGAUUUGGCUCGAAAAUGCGUUAUUUAUGCCGUUUUUCCCGUUUGAGCACACAAAUUGCCCUUCCCACAAAAGUGGACCAUACUAGGUCUAUCCCCAGCCUUCCUGGCAUGCCCCAAUUAAUUUUAGCCUACAACAUGCCCAAAAGUUGGGCCCAUCCCUAGAACCACAUAAAAGUAUGCUAAACAAAAAGUUGAAUCUUUGGUAGAUUAGAUACUGGAAUGGAUAUAAGAAGGUAGGGUGCGACUCGUAUAAUCCUAGUACGAGUUAAAGACCGAGUGUAUCAAAUGUAUACAUAACUUUAUCUUUCCCAUUUUAAUUAUAAUUUUUAUGUUAUUUGGAGAUACUAUAAAUACCCUAGAGUUUACUUUUUAUUAGGUUACACAUUCUUAUCAUAGGAUACACAUUCUUACACUACUUUUAUAAUUAUUCUUGAGAAGUUAGGGGGAACACAAGCCUAAUAUUUGUCCCCUACUAUCUAAAACUCAAAAGCAUGCAAGAUUCGAUUACUACUUGAAAUUGAUGCUAAAAUCCACCCAUUUAGCUUUCUUUACUGAUCGUGGAUUACCUUAAGGUGAAGCAACUGUUCACAUUUUCUCCGUGGGGUCAACCUCAACCUAUUUGGGUUAUUGUACUUGAAAUAGAUGACAAUAUACGUUUAUUUGGAGUGUAGUUUUGGGAGACAUCAUACACACACAUAAAGAGACUCUACUUGACAUGGCUUUGUGGACAACCAAGGACACCAAAUUUAGGCUCUGAUACUAACUUUGUCACGAUCCAAUCCAGGGCCUGACGGGUAUCUCAAGUCACCAAGGACUAGAGGCCACCCCUAUUUCCUAGUCAAAUCAAACACAAUGCCAUAUAGAGGUUGAAUUCCAAAUAAACAAUGAAAUAAGAUAUAAAAGCUCAAAGGAAUCUAAGAUAGCUAAAUAUCCAACAACCAAUAACAAAAAUCAUCCAAAUCCAUAGCAAUAUCCACAAAGCCGCUAAAUAAUAUUGAAAGCUAAUUUUAGUUGGGGUAUGCCCCUGACUCUGACAAUGAAAAUAUCAAUGAUAAUGUUAAUGUGAACUCUUUAAUUUUUGUCUAUAAAAGGAAACUAAUGAAAAGACCAAGUCUUUCGGAGAAUGAAAGCCCACCACAUCACCACAACGACCAACAAACCAAGCCGAUCUACCUAAAACUAUAUAGGAAAAGUAAAAGUAUCUCCGGUUCCUGCAUUGCAUGGGGAUACUACAUCCAGAGAAGAUUAAUGAGUUGAGCACUAGAAUGUAACUUAGGGAUAGGGGAUAAAAUAAUUCCAUGAUAGAUAUUUCAAAAUCAUUCAAAACCAAUGCAUAUAAUCAUAUAUAUAUAUAUAUAUAUGUAUAUAUAUAUAUAAACAUGUCAUGCCGGGACAGGAAACAAGGCUUAGAAUGAAGAAAACUUUAUCUUAGACUAUAUAGCUCAACCGUCAUAACAGGAACCUAUGGGCUAUAUGGGUUUAGCUUCCUCUGCUGAAAGGGCCUCAGUGUGUGUUAGUUGCAUGAAUUGAAGGUAUCAAGGAAGACCAGGGAAUGACUCGACACCACGUUAGUCCAGGAUACAAAUAUAUCAAUAAUGUGAUCCAUGCACAUAUGUCAUCAAGACCAAACCUUAGGUAGGCAAAGAUGAGUUUCCAGUAUAAGUCAUCCAGGGCCCACUCCUUCACGGCUUAGCUACAUAACCCCAUUAAGCCCAAUUUAGAACAAGUUUCAUAUAACCCAUUUAUUAACCAAUGUUCCAAAAGUUAAGGCACACCAUGGGUAUCGGUAUACCCUUACACUUGUAAGCUUAUCUCUAUGCCAUAAUAAUCACAUUAACUUGGAAAACUUCCCUAACCUCUUUAGUUUAUCAAUUCAAGUUAGGGGAAUGGAUCGACCCCCUUUGUUCAUUAAAUCAAAUCAUAGCAAUAAAAGGCUUUCAAAAUCUAUUUUUAUUGUUUAAUCACUUAUGCAAUGCAAUAACAUAGGUGGGUAAGUCAAACCAAGUGAAAAAUUUACAAUUCAAAGCCAUUUAUAUAAGUGGGUUGAGGGAACACAAUUAUUCAAAAUGAAUUCUAACCUCAAAAUACCAAUUUAGGGAAAACCAUGGCACCUUAGUUUAUUCACCAUUCCCAUGUACCCCACAAGUUUAAAAUCAUUAAUAAAACAUUAAAAUGCAUAAUAAAUCAUGGGAUAACCAUUGAAGAAUCAAGCAUGUCAAAACCCUCAACCAUAUCAAAACCCAUAUUUAAAAUCAUCCAAUUAAACCUUUUAAAUACAUGAUUUUCAUAAAAUAAUAAUUGGGGAAGAGUAAUAUGCCUGAAAUAUCAAGAUUUAUGAAGAGAAUUCAACCCUUGAUCCCUUAGAUGGCCAACUUCUUAGAAACCCUAAGUAUCUUGACCUAAAAAAUUUAGAGAGUUUUGAGAGUGUUUUUAUUGUUUCAUAGAUGAGAAAUAACCCCUUGAGUGCUUUAUAGAAGUGGGGUCUAAGUAAGGUAAAACUGGAAUUGGCUAGAAUGUCCUUAAUGAAAAGACUGAAAAAUUGAUCGCCUAGUCACUACAGGUGACCUUGCAACUCGUAGGGUUACCUUAUGAUUCAUAAGGUCCCACUCAUAGUUUAGAUAGUGUCCAUGACCACCAAUUCUAACUCAAAAAAAUUUUCAAGGCUUUGGGCUUUGAAAUUUCCUUGAGCCUUCAUCUCAAUAUCCUAUUGAUGGCUCACCAUAAGUCAUAUAGUGUGGUUAUACAUAUAGGGACCCAAGUUGAAACCAAAUUAGUGUUUUCUUAGAUAAGUUCUAUACUGGUUAUGAAACACUCCUCACGAGUGAUAUGAUCAUGUGACGAGUGGUUAGGGUCUAAUCAUACAUUAUCUAGUGUCUAAGCCCUUGGUGUUCUGUGAUGGUCACGACUAGAACAUAUGAGUUGUAUGGUCAAGUGACAAGUGGGAUGAGAAAUUUUAAAGUUGGACAGUGUAUGGUUUCCAAUUCUUUAUCAUGGUGAUGACUCAAUGGUAAGAUUCGUACGUUGUGGUGAUGAGUCGAUGGCUUGACUCGUGACCAAAGAUAGAAUUCUACAGCUUUAAGCUGGAGGUACUUUGGACAUUUCCCACUCCAAGCCCUUAAUACCCUAUGUUAUUAUAACACUUUAGGGCAUCCAUUAUAUACUUUACAAGAUCAAUCACUCUCUAAAUUCCCUCAAAAAAUAUUGGGCUAGGGUUUCUUUAAUGUAGUUAUCUAAAAGCUUAAGGAUAAAAUUCUCUCUUUGAAUCAUGUAACUCAGGCAAGUGACUCUUCCCUCAUUGUUAGUUCACUAAAUUCAUAUGUUUAGAGCAUUGUUCAUGAGUCAUAAUGGUGGUUUUGAAAACCAUGGUUAAAGGUUUGAAUGUAUAAUGUUGAGUAUUUUUUUCUUAUGGUUUAGAUUAUGAUUACACAUAUUUUGAGAAUGGUUUUGUACAUGUGGGUAAAUGAGAAUUGUGUUUUAAAAAAAGGGAUCAUGUUUAACCCUAAAUUUGUUGGUUUUUAGACUUGAUAAUAGUAUUCCCUCAACUUGUUUGUGAAAUUGUCAAUGAUAAUGAUCUUGUCAUAUGAUUGAAUUGUGUUCUAAACUAAGGUAUUAGACAAAGAAUGAUAAUGAUUGAUAAUGGUUAUGGCAUGUUGUACACUUGCAAGUGGGGUUGGUAUAAUGAUACAAAUGAAAUGUCUUUGGUGAGUGAUUGGAAGGUUGUGUAUGUGUAAUGAAUGCUUUAAUUAGGCUUCAAAGUGGGAUGUGUAGCCAAGCCAUGAAAGUAGAGUCUAAAGGACUAACACUAGAAACUGCGCUAGUUGGUGCGAGUAUUUUAUGAUCGAGAGGUUCGAGUCCCUUGAAUGAAUAUAUGAAUGGGAGGUUCAAGUCCCCCAUACUGUAUACAUUGGUGAUUAAGUCACCUUCACUAUGUCUGGAGGUUCAAUUCCCUCAUAAAGGCAUAUACAGAUAUAGAUAUUCUCUGGUUCAUACGUCUACUCAUACUGGGGGCCUUCCAGCUAGGGAAGAGCUGAGACUAUAUAGCAUGUGGGUACCUUUUUCAUGAUGAUUAUUCUAUACAACUCAAGUUAAGGUUUAUAAAGUUCAUGAUAAUCCUAGUUCCCUACCCCAGCAUGUGGUAUUAAUAUAUAUAUAUAUAUAUAUAUGCAUGUAUGUAUAUAUAUAUAUACACACACAUAUAUAUAUGUGUGUAUAUAUACAUACAUAUAUGUAUGUAUGUAUUUUACUUAAUAUUGCACAUUGUUUGUUGUAUUAGUUUUGAAAUAUUCUUAUGGCAUUAGUUUGUUCCUCUAUCCCUGAGUUACAUGUGAGCUCUCUAACCGCUAAACGUCUCUAAAUAUUGUAUCCCUAUGUCAUACAGGAACCAGAACUUCUUCUACUUUUCCUAUUCAGUAAUCAGGUGCUCGAGUUAGUUCAUAAGUUGACAUUGAAGUUGUAAGCUUUCAUACUUUGAAAGACUUUAUUUUAUGGUCAUUAUUUUCUAUGUUAUAGGCCUUGUUUAGACUUUGCUUUGACUACUAUUGGGGGCAUAUCUGGACAUUUUAUUGAUUUUGAUUUUGUAAAGGCUUUUUCGGAUUACUGUAGACUUAGGUGGUUUGAUUGAUUGGUUUGGUGGUGGACGAUUUUGCAGUUACCGAUGGAUUGUAUAGAUACAUAAUGAAUUUUUUUUAGAUUUAUUAUAUGCUAUCUUUUUAUAUGUUUGAAAUUCAUCUAGAAAUUGAGGUUUUUGGGAUGGUUAGGUUUGAUAAAAGGGGUGAUCUCUGGUCCACGUGGGACUUGAGGUACCCACCAGGGCUAGGCCCUAGUUUGGGUCAUGAAAAAGUUGGUUUAAAAACCUAGGUUCAUAUUUGAUUGGUUAUCCACAAAGCUGUGUCAACUAGAAUCUAUUUUAUGGGUGUGUAGCGCUUCCUACUUAUAAGAUAAAGGCCACGAGAUUUAGGAAUAUUUUCCUUUAUAUGGUCAUAAAUUUUAAAGUCUUGGAUUCCUCAAAUUUCAGUCUACUCACUUUUUUAGAUCAUGCCUUCCAGAUGAUUUGAAUUUCAUGGAAACUCCUCUAUCCCUCUUGAGGAUAAUGCUGAUAGGACAUGCCCUACCUAUGGGGUACCGACCCAGUCUAGGGAUCCAAUUCUUGAUUAUCCUCCUAGAAUUUCACCGUUUCCCUCUAGCCAUCCCCGAGCUCCUUUGGUCUAUAUGACAAAUGCUGAGUUUCAUUAGUCUAUUCAUAUAUUGGCUCAGCUGUUAGCUUCUCAGUUCAAGCGUAGUACUCUAUCUUCUAAGGCAACAAUGGUUGGCUAUUUCAUGAGGUUGAGUCCUCUAACUUUUACUGGUGUAAAGGUUGAGGAGGAUCCUUAAGAUUUUAUUGAUGAUAUGGAGAAGAUCCUUCAGAUUAUACAUGCUUCAGAUGUUAGAGGUUUGGAGUUUGCUGCCUACCAAUUAAAGAAUGUGGUAUACUAGUGGUACAAAGAGUUGGAAUAGUCUAAGGGAGGUGAUGUUGUCUCUAUAUUGUGGGAUGAAUUCUCUAGUACCUUUUUGGACCAUUUCUUUCCUCAAGAGUUGAGGGAGGAAAAAGUGGAAGAGUUUGCUAAUUUGAAUCAAAAUAGCAUGAUGGUUAAGAAGUAUGUCAUAAAAUUCCAUCAGUUGUCUAGGUAUGCUUCUGAGUUGGUGCCUAGUAUGAGAGCUAGAAUGCAUAAGUCUACUUUGGGGUUGUCUCGUGAGUUGAUUCUGGAGAGUAAGGUUGCCUUAUUGAACAAGGAUAAGGAUAUUUCUUGACUUGUGGGUUAUAUGCAGCAGUUUAAGAAAGAAAAAAAAAUAGGUUAAGAUUAGUAAGAGGCAGAGUAAGAAAUUUAGAUUUUUUGAUCAGGGUGGAGACCAGCAGGAGAGUGGUAGAGAUGGGGAAAAAUGACCUAAGAAGAAGUGAGAGAGUUUUGGUUCUUUCUCUAUGACUAGUUCUCCUUACCCAAAGUGGUCGAGCGAUCAUUUUUCUCAGCAUGAUAGAGGGUAUAGGUCACAGGGUGCCCAUCUCAAGAUAGCGGGCCUCAGUUUGCUCUAUCAUAUCCUCUUUGCAGAUUUUGUGGUCAGUUGCACCAUGGCUAAUGUGAGAAGGGGAGAAACUAAUGUUUUAAUAGUGGUCAGGUUGUCCAUAUUCAACGUACGAUCCUUCUAGGGUUGCUUCUCGAGACAAUAAGGUUCCUAUUUUCUCUUCAUCAGCUACUGCAUCAAAGAGUGUUGCUUCUACUUUUGGUACCAACACCGGCCGCUUUUAUGUUGGUUCUUCUCAUCAAGACUCUAGGGCAUCUCUUGAUGUCGUUACUUAUAUGUUGAAAAUCUUUUCUUGUGAUGUGUCCUAUUUAUUUGAUCUGAGGUCCACUCUCUCUUAUGUGACCCUAUUUGUGGCUGUGUAUUUUGGUUUUGGUCCUGAGUAUAUAUUGGACCCUUUUUUUGUUUCUACCUCAGUGGGAGACUCUGUGGUUGUCAGAAGAAUCUAUAGGGGUUGUUUGGUAUCUGUUGGUAAUAAAGAAACUUUGAUAGACUUGAUAGAGUUAGACAUAGUUGACUUUGAUAUUAUCUUAAAAAUAGACUAGUUGCACCUUUUUUAUGCUUCUUUAGACCAUCAGAUCCAUACGAACAUAUUUAAAUCCCUUAAUGAGUCAAUUUUUGAAUGGGAAGAAAGUUCUCUAGUUCCUAAGGAAAGGUUCGUAUCAUAUCUUGGAUCCCGAAAGUUAAUUUCCAAAGGUUGUCUUUAUUAUCUAGUCCGGGUUAAAGAUUUUAACUCGGAGGGUCAUUCAUAGACAUCUGUUCCUGUGGUUAAUAAAUUUUUAGAGGUUUUUCUUAAUGAUCUUCCUGGUGUCCCUCUCAAUAGGGAUAUUGAUUUUGGUAUUGAUCUUGUUCCGGACAUUCAUUUUAUCUUUAUUCCCCCGUAUAGAAUGGCUCCAGUUGAGUUGAAGAAACUCAAGGAGAAAUUGAAGGAUCUCUUAGACAAGGGUUUCAUCUAUCCUAGUGUGUCCUCGUAUGGUGCACCUAUCUUGUUCGUGUGUAUGAAGGAUUGUUCUCUUCAGAUGUGUAUUUAUUAUCAGUAACUGAACAAUGUAAAGGUAAAGAAUAAAUAACCACUUUUGAGAAUUGAUGAUCUCUUUGAUCAGCUUUAGGAUUCCCAAUUCUUCUCUAAAAUUGAUCUUCGAUUUGGGUAUCAUCAGUUAAAUAUUAGGGAGGGGAUAAUUUUUCAUACAUGAUAUGGGCAUUUUGAGUUCUUCGUGAUGUCAUUUGGUUUGACCAAAGCCCCUACAACGUAUAUAGACUCGAUGAAUAGGGUCUUUUAUCAAUUUUUGGAUUUUUUCAUCAUUUUAUUCAGUGACAACAUCUUACUGUACUCUAAGAGAAAGGUCAUGUCGAUCACCUCCACCUAGUGAAUUCAGAUUGAUAGUUGUUACAUUUUUAAGUUAUGUUGUGUCUAGUGAGGGGAUCAUGGUGGAUCCUCAGAAGGUUGCUAUGGUUAAUAAGUGGCCUAGGCCCACGAUUAUAAUCGAUAUUCGAAGCUUCUUGGGUUUAGCCAAUUAUUAUAGGAGAUUCAUGGAAAUUUUUUCCUCUAUUGCUGCCCCAUUGACCAAUUUGACUCAGAAGAUGGUAAAUUUCUUAUGGUUUGAUGCUAGCGAGGAUAGUUUUGAGAAGCUAAAAGAUAAGUUGACUUCAGCUCUGAUCUUGACCCAACCUAAAGAUACAGAGGGUUUUGUUGUCUAUUAUGAUACAUCCCGGGUUGGUUUGGGGUGUGUGUUGAUGCAGAAUGGUAAGGUGGUUGCUUAUGCCUCUAGGCAAUUGAAGGUUUAUGAGAAGAAUUAUCUAACUCAUGACUUGGAGCUAUUGGUUGUGGUGUUCAUGUUGAAAAUUUAGCGUCAUUAUCGGUAUGGGGUGCAUGUUGAUAUCUUUUCUGAUCAUAAGAGCCUACAAUAUAUGUUCACUCAGAAAGAGCUUAAUCUCAAGCAAAGAAAGUGGCUUGAGUUGCUGAAGGACUAUGAUAUGAGUCUUCACUGCCACCUAGGUAAAGCUAACGUAGUUGCUGAUACUUUUGGAAGGUUAUCUAUGGGGAGUCUAUCUCAUAUGAAUAAAGAUAAGCGGGAAUUAGAAAAGGAUAUUCAGCGUUUGGAUAAUUUUUUAGUUCAUCUCUUGGACUCUAAGGAUGGUAGUGUAUUUGCGUAAUAGGCGGAUCAAUCAUCUCUUAGUUCUCAAAUAAAGAAGUAACGGGUAUUAGACACCCUUUUGAUAAAAAUCAAGGAUGGUGUAGGUAAGCAGAAGUUGAUGGCCUUUGAUAUCAUUAGUGAUGGUAUUUUGAGGUACCAAGAUAGGUUAUGUGUUUUCGAUAUUGAUGGGUUGAAAGGCAGGAUUUUGUCCAAGACUCAUGAAUAGCAGUAUACAAUUUAUCCCAAUUAAACAAAUAUGUAUCACGAUCUCAAAGGUAUGUAUUAAUGGAAUAACAUGAAACGGGAUAUAACCAACUUUGUGGCAAAGUGUAUGGUGUAUCGACAAGUAAAGAUGGAGAACAUGAGGCUUGGUAGGCUAAUCUAAGAGAUUAACUACCAGUGUGGAAAUAAGAGAUAAUUAAUAUAGAUUUUGUUAUCUGUCUUUCACGGUCGCGUAAUCAGUGCAACUCUAUUUGGGUAAUCGUAGAUAGGAUAACUAAGUCUACUCACUUCUUUCCAGUGAAGACUAAUUAUUCUGCUAAGGACAAUGCAACGUUGUUCCUUCAGGAGGUUGUAAAAUUUCAUGGUGCACCUGUCUCGUUCAUUUUAGAUCAUGGUACUCAGUUUUCAUCAUAUUUCUAGCACUCUCUUCAGUAAGUUCUGGGGACAAAGAUGAGUCUUAGUACUACUUUCCACACGUAGUUGGAUGGGCAAGCAGAAAGAACUAUUCAGACUUUGGAAGAUAUGUUGUGAGCUUGAGUAAUUGACUUUGGUGGUAGUUGGUUUGAUUAUUUGCCUCUCAUUGAAUUUUCCUAUAAUCAUAGUUACCGUUCUAGUAUUGGUAUGGUCUCAUUUGAGGCAUUGUAUGGAAAGAGGUAUUGAUCUCCUAUUGGGUGGUUCGAGAUUGGUGAAGUAGAGAUGUUUGGCCUAGAUUUGGUUCACCAAGAUAUGGAGAAGGUAAAGGUGAUUUGGGAUACUCUUAAGACCACCCAAAGUAGCUAAAUGUCCUAUGAGGACGUAAGGAGCAGGGACAUGGAAUUUGAGGUUGGAGAUUGGGUAUUCUUAAAGGUGUCUCCCAUAAAUAAAGUAAUGCAGUUUGGGAAGAAGGGGAAUCUCCGUCCCCAAUAUGUUGGCCCGUACUUGGUUUUGACAAGGGUUAAUAAUAUUGCAUAUGAUUUAUAUUUUUCCCUCUAACGUGAGUUCCAUUAAUGUGUUAUCUAGUUGGAUUAUAAUGUGUUAAAGGAGUUACUAAUGGUUUUAAUGUGUAAUUAUGAGUGGAAUAACUUAUUUGUAAUGGGCAAAGUUCAAUUUGAUUAAGUUAAAAGUCGGAGCGAUAAGUUGAGGAUCAUUGCGAAUUAGCCUAGUCUUAGCUCUUGUUUUGAUUCAUCGUUGAGGAUAUUAUGUUGUUAUAAUCUCCAAUAUGUGGUCUGUGAAUAUUUAGUAAGCUUUGUGAGCUGAAUAUGGUGACAUCUUGAUGAUAUAAAGCUGGAAAUUCAUUUGAAAUACACUACAAAAGGCAUGAAAAAAAUAUAAGACAUUCAACACUUAGAAUUUAUUUUGGAGACUAAUUCCAGUGAGCUAACGUGAUAUGGAUGUGAUGCACCACUCCAUUAAUGCUAUGAGAAACGCGCUGCAUCGGAUAUUCCAUGAAAUAACUAACGACUCAUAUUGGAUAUGGCAACGAGAUUACCAACGCGCCGCGUUGGGUAGUUCAUACACGGCAUGAAAAGUGCAUAGCAUAUCCUAUUCCUACAUGGUUAGGCAUUUUGUCCACUAUAUAUAUAUAUAUAUAUAUAUAUAUUACAUUGCACACAUUUUGAGGAGUUUGGGGGGAAUAUCUUGGAAUCUUGGACUAUUUGGGCCUUUUUGAUAUAUUUUAAUCCUACAAGGUUUAGGAUUAUUUUAUACACGCUUGGUGGGAAUCUUUAAAAGCCUUGGAAUAUCUUGGAUCUUGGACUUUUGGAUGGAUUGGAGAAAAAAAAGAGGCUGUUGCAUGGUAUUUUAGGUUUUAUCGUCCUUUUUAUUUAAAUUUCAAUUAUAUCAUAACAUGUAUUCAAUUAUUUGAAUCGUGAUUAUGAAUAUUGUUGGCUAAUCACCCUUUUUCUAGGGUUAAAGACAAGAACAUGAGUACUAUUAUUUUGAAUUAAUUUUGUUUAAUUUGCUUAUAAUUAUUGGUUGUUUUUUAUUAUUGAUUUAAUUAUUUUGAUGAUUGAUCACCCUUCGAAUACAUCAAUUGUCAACCUUGUGAUAUCAGGAGAGGGAAUAGGGCGAUAGAACAUGGAACUAAAUAAAGUAUGGUUUGUAUUCUUUUAUAAAAUAAGGAAUUCAAAAUAGUGUCUAAGAUAGGGAUGUACUUAGAUGCCUUACUUUAUUCAAACAUAGGAUGAUAGCUUAAAGAACUUAAUUGGAUUAUUAAAUCCCCGCUCAACGAUGCAGAUGUAAUGUUCAAAUUAGGUAAACAAUUAGGGAUCGGGAGACCAUGAUCAUGCAAUUAACCCUACGAAUCAACAACAAAGAUAAGUAAGUUGACGAAUGAAGUUCAAUAACAUAGUAUGAUUUUUCGAAGUGAUUUAACUCUGAGAUUUAUUUCAUUGAUUGUUUCAAGGCUUUAUUUUAUACAUUGUUUACUUUUACUUGCAAUUUACAAUAUUCCAAACUCUUUUUGGUUAUGCUUGCAUCAAUUGAAUCUAAAUUGUGAACUAGAAUUGAGUAGUCGUUAGAUCAAGUCCCUAUGGGAUCAAUAGUUGGCUUUCUUUAAGGCCACUUUAGUACUUGGUCGACUACGUACACUUGCGUAUGCGCUUGGGCGCUGUAACCAUGUUGAACAAAUACGUGGGUGAUCCUUCAUUGGUUGUUCCCUUGGAGAACAUUUAUAUUUUGGAUUCUUUGUCCUAUUAGGAGGUCUCGGUGAGGAUAUUAGAUUAGCAAGUUUGUAGGUUGGGAGCAAAAUACGUGGCUUUGGUAAAGGUUAUAUGGAGGAUCCAAAAGCUCGAGGAAGCUAAUUGGGAAGCCGAGGAGCAUAUGAAGUCAAAGUAUUCGGUCCUAUUCCCGAUUCUGGAAAUUCAUACUUAAGGUAAGUGUUGUCCUUAACAUCAUUGUAUUCUGUCUUUGUUAAAUAUAGAUUGACAAUUUUCCAUGGUAUUUUGUUUUCUAUCUUAAAGGUAAGAGUAGAGAUGUUUGGGGGUUUAAUUGUACCAGUCAAUGCCUUGUCCCAUCAUUCGAGGAUGAAUGAUCUUUAGGGGGAGACUGAAAUAUCCUAGGCUUUGUCCUUUGAAAGUCCUCGAGCCUUAAGCUCACUAUCCUGUUGAUGACUCACUAUAUAAGUAGUAUGGUGUGGUUACGGUUCUGGGGACCAAAGUCAUAACCAAAUUAGUGUGUUAUCGGCUAAGCUCUGUAUUAGUUACAAGAGACUCCUCAUGAGUUGUAUGUUCAUAGGACGAGUGAUUAGGAUCCAUUCGUAUGUUGUCCAGUGUCUAAGUCCUUGAUUUUCUAUGAUGGUCAUGACUAGUCCAUACGAGUCGUAUGGUCUAGUGACGAGUAGGACUAUGAAGUCAUAAGUUGGAUAGUGUAUGGUGUCUAAUUAUUUGUUUUGGUGAUGACUUAAUGGUAAAAGUCGUAAGUUGUGGUGGCAAGUCAAUGGCUUGACUCGUAACCAAAGACAGGAUUCUAUAGCUUUAUGCUAGGGGCACUUUGGACAUUUCCCACUCUAAGCCCUUAAGAUACCAUGUUAUUAUAACACUUUUAGGGAAUCCAUUAUAUACUUUAAAAGAUAAAACGCUCUCAAAACUCUCUCUAAAACCUCUCAAGAAUGAUUGGGAUAGGGCUUCUUCAAGUGGUCAUCUAAGAGCUUAAGGAUCAAAUUCUCUCCGUGAAUCUUCGUAACUCAGGCAUGUGACUCUUCCCUCAUUGUUAGUUCACUAAUGUCAUAUGUUUAACACAUUGUUCAUGAGUUAUUAAUGGUGGUUUUAAAAGCCAUGGUUAAGGGUUUGAAUGUAUAAUGUUGAGUAUUGUUUUCUUAUUCUUUAAAUUAUGAUUACACAUGUUUUAAUAAUAGUUUUGGACAUGUGGGUACAUGUGAAUUGUGGUUUAAACAAAUGGGUCACGUUUAAAUCUAUAUUUGUUGGUUUUUGGAUUUGAUAAUGGUAUGCCCUCAACCCGUUUGUGAAAUUAUCAAUGAGAAUGAUCUUGUCAUAUAAUUGAAUUGUAGUCUGAACUAAGGCAUUGGCCAAAGAAUGAAAAUGAUUGAUAAAUGGUUUUAUGAAUGCCUUGUUGGCCAUAAAUUUAUUUGAGAUGCUAAAUGGGUUUGAGUCCAAAGUUAAUUAAUAAUGGUUACGGUAUGUUGUACACUUGCAAGUGGAGUUGGUAUGACAAUGCCAACGAAAUGCUUUAGUGAGUAAUUGGAUUAAAUGUUGUGUAUGUGUUAUGAAUGUCUUAAUUGAACUUUAAAGCGGGAUGUGUAGACAGGUUGUGAAAGUCAAGUUCAAAGGACUAACACUGAAGACCGCGCUAGUUGGUGCAGGUGUUUAUAUGACCGGGAGGUUCAAGUCCCCCAUAUUAUACACAUUUAUGCUUAAGUCACCUUGACUAUGCCGGUAGGUUUGAGUCCCCCAUAAAGGCAUAAAUGGAUAUAUAUUGUGAGACCUCGCAAAAAUCCUAAGCUUAAUUCAGCCCAUUUGUGCUUGUUAAGGGGGGUCCCAUGCUUAGAAAAUUCUAGCUAACUUUCCCAAACUUAGCUUAUUUUGUCCUUCAAAAGUUCACAACCUCAUUUCGCAACCUCAAAGUCCUUUAAUGGUCUAUAUCUUUAGUAACUCAUUAUCAGAAAGGUCAAUAAGUGUUUCCAGACAAGUUUUGAAUUUUUCGAAACUCGUUUAAACUAAGUUCGGAGUCUCAAAAUAGUGGAUCAAUGCGAUCUUGGUGUGCCACAUCGCUUAUCGCAUUGGUCAACAUUUGUGCAGGGUUGCAGAGCCAAAAGUAUUGAGGCUCGACGCGUUCAUGGAAUGACGCGUAGACUGUCGCAUCGAUGGGUCAAUGCGUCGCAUCGCCUGUAACGUCGAUGCCCAGUUUUGAGUCAUUACAUAUCCGCAUUCCUAAGGUCAAAUAGGUCAAUUUUCCACCCCUAUAUAAGUCCCAAACAUGGAAUUAAGCCUCAGAUACACCAAAACAUAUUCGUUUUCUCAAAAAUCCUCUCAAGAACAUAUUAGGAUUUCCAAUUGGGAUUUAAUUGCAAGGAAAUUCCAUUGUCAACUUCACGAAAUCACGAACCAAGGUAUGCACAGUGUUCAUUCAUGGAUUUCUUUCAUCCAUGAAGCUCAAGAAUCCUCUUUAAAUCAUAUAUUAUGAUAUUUAUGUGGUGAAUUGAUUAUACUUAUGUUGUUAUAGUUGUAUGGUUAUCAAGAUUAAAUCUUUACUAUGUUUUCAUGACACCAUGUUAGAAUAGGGUUGAAAUCCAUGAAAUGGAGUCAAAUUGUGAAAUCGUUUUGUGUCUAAAUUGAUGAUCAUACUUAUGCCUUGAAUUGUGCAUGCAAGGUGUUUGAUGAAAUACCUAGUAUUAUUGAAAUCAUGUAUAAUGACUCAAUUGUGGUUUAAAUGCUAAAUGUAUGCAAUUUGCUUAUGUUCAACAUGACUCCCAUAUUAUUGAUUAUGUAUUAUGCUUGUUCUGAUUAAAUGAGCAUAAUCUUACAAGCAUGUAAUCAAGUGCCUCACGAAAUAUUCCCUAACGAUUAUAGGAUAAAUUUUGGACUUUAGUCAUGUGUUUAAGAAUGUCCAGUUGUGUCAGUUUCAUUCUAUCGAGUCCUAGGGGUACUUGUACUCGACAACUUAGCUGUGUGCCUAGAUCCAUGUCAUGUUUUCAUGAUACUUCCAGUCGAGAUAUGUUCAGUAGACUUCAGUCAGUCUCACGAAUUAGGAAAUCUCAGUAAUCUCAUAAACUCAGUCAGUUUACAGAAUUCAGUAGUAAUCCAUCAGUCAACAAAAUCAAGUAAACUCAGUAAUUCAGUUUAGUUAAUCAUGUUUAGUGUCUAUUCAGAUGGGAGUAGGAUUUAGCACCGAGUGAACCCAAGGAUGAGGACACAUACUGUCAGUUGAUGGUGUGAUCCUUAGAAGUCAUUCUUGCAUUCCAGAACUAUGUAGCCAGCAUAGGUUGAGACAUCAACACUUUCAAAUGAGGGUUGAUGAGAUGGAUAAACACUGUCAAAUAAGGGUCCCACAUUCUCUUUUGGGGAUACUGUCAGAUGAGGGUCACUCACAGCUUUUCUUUACCAGUGGAGCGGUAUUGACACCGUUUCGAUUGGGGUUACAGAUUGGACUCCAAUUUACCUAUAAUUGGUUAUUAGGGGCAUGUCUGUUAGAUGACUACUUCCCACAGUUUCAAUUACAAAUUUUAGGACUAUUAGAUACAGUCACUCAGUCUCAGUAAUAGACUCAGAUAGUUCUACAAAACUCAGGACUGCUAGAUACAUCAACUCAGUACAUUACAAAACUCAGCUAGUUCCCUCAGAACCUAGAUUGUCAGAUAUAAUCGCUCAAUAUCAGUAUAUUAGUUGUAUCAUCUAUGUCAGUUAUACUAGUUAUAUCAGUCAUGUUAGUGAUCAGUAACUCAGUAGUCAGUAUCAUCGUGAAUUUAGUUACAAUUUUUCAUUCAUGCAUGUAUUCUCACGCUCAUGUAUACAGUUAGUUAGUUUAUGUUUUAUGCAUAUAAACCCUUUGCAUUCAGCCUACCUCACUUUCAUACCAGUACAUUCAGUCGUACUGAUACAUUCACACUAUGUUGUUUUACUUUACGCCAUAGGUCCCAAGAUACGAGUUUCACACCAGCAGUAGCAUUCCAGAUCAGUAGUCAGAGUUGGCAGUGAGUCCUCAUCCUUCGAGGACAUAAUUAUUUUCAGUAUUUCAUUAUUUCAACUUUAGUAGUUGGAGUUGGUUAGGGACAUGUCCCAUUAACUCCUUAUUCAGAUAGUUUAGUCCUAGAGGCUUUUCAGACUAUAAUAUGUUUAGGCAGUCUAUUUUAGUUGUUUUGGGUAUUCUAUUAUCCCACUCAGAUGUUAUAUUUUUCAGUUAUCCUAUUUUGAACCUUAUGGCCUUUCAGUUUAUGUUUCUAUAUUUAUAUGAGAUAUUAUGCAGUAUACAAGUACAAAUAUCAGUCAUGGGUUAACUUGUGGUCCUUUGGGGUCAUGAGCACCGUGUAACAUUUUGGGUACCAAAUUUGGGGCGUUACAUACAUAUUCUCUUGUUUGUGCAGCUACUUGCACCGGGACUCUUCCAGCUAUGUAAGAGUGGGUCUAUAUAGCCCGUGGGUGCCUUAUUUUAUGAUGGUUAUUCUACACGGCUAGAUUAAGGAUUUUGAUGUUCAUGCUAAGCCUUGUUCCCUACCCAGGAUAUGGUAUGCUAUAUGAAUAUGUAUUUCACUAGAUAUUAUGCAUUGAUUGUUAUAUUGGUUUUGAACAGUUAUCAUGGCAUUAUUUUGUUCCUCUAUCCCUGAGUUACAUGCUAGCGCUCCAAUUGCUAACCGUCUCCGGAUGCUGUAUCCCCACAUAUUGUGAGAACCGAAGCUUCUUUUACUUUUUCUAUGCAAUGAUCAGGUGCUCGAGUUAGUCCAUGAGUUGACAAGGAAGCUUUGAGCUUCCAUACUUCAAAAGUCUUCAUUUCAUAGUCCUUAUUUCCUAUGUCUUAGACCUUUUUUAGAAAUUGUUUUAGCUAUUGUCAGAGGCAUGUCUCGACAUUUUAUUGAUUUUGAUUUUGUAGAGGCUUUGUUAGAUUACCGUGGACUUGGGUGAUUUGGCUGAUUUUUUCUGUGAUGGAUGGUUGUUCAAUUACCGAUGGAUGGUAUAGACACAUAAUGAAUUGUUAUUAGAUUUAUUUAUGCUAUCUUGUUAUAUGUUUGAAAUUCAUCCGACACUAGAGAUUUUAAUGCUAGUUAGGAUAGAUGAAGGGGGUGAUCUCCAGUCCACGUGAGACUUGAGUUACCCUUCAUGAGAAGACCUUGGUUUGGGUCAUGACUUUUGGCUACUAGUUGUAGAAUACAACUCAUACUCAUACCUUACAACUUACAUGGUUUAGUCGUUUUCAAAGCAAAAACAGUUGGGCAUUCCACUGGUUAGGCUACGAAAGACACCCUAUGACUCAAUUUGAGUCUUUAUCACUCGUAACCCCCUAGUCAUAUUCACAUCAGAAUAUCUAGGACAACCUAUUGGACAGGAUACAAUUGGGUCCUUAAAAUCCAUCAAGACUCCCUAUGACUCAUAUGGAGAGUCGUAAUUUGUGAAGUCAGGAUAAAAUCUCAGAAAUUAUCGGGGACAAAAAUCUGUGGUGUUACAUUCUCCCCUCCUUAGGAUCAUUCAUCCCUAAAUGAUGAGACAUGACAUCCUUUAGCAUGAUUUAACAUGGAAUACAAUCAUAUUUACCUUAAAAAAAAAUAAAAAACAGAGAUGUUAAGAAUGACACAUACCUUAUGUACGAUUACCUGAAGCAUGAAAUAAGAACUGAUAUUAGGACGUCAUGUCCUUUUCAGCUUACCAAGUAGUUUCUUCACAAUUUUUGUUCCUCCGUAGAACCUUUACCGAAGCCACAUCCUUUGCUCGCAAUCGACAGACUUGUCGAUCCAAUAUUUAACCUUCUCAUGAUAUAAGGAAUCUGAGACACCAACACUCUCCAAAGGAAAAACCAAGAAUCACCCACACACAUCUUCAACAUUAACACAUGAAAGCCCCAAGGGCGCCAUAUUCAAGGAGCCCAAACUAUAUGAUUGAAUAAAUCCUUCUGCGGGUCAAGGGGUCUUUCUCCCUCCCAUUUUUCAAACUCCGAUUGAUAUUUUUCAUACAUAAAUCUUUGAUCAAGGAUAGACCAAGAGACAUUUUGCAUCAUAUCUACAGGAUUCCUUGGUUCGGGCCAAAGAAGCAUGUCACUCGAUCAUUACUAAAUUGAUUGCAAUCUUUUUUUGUCUGUGAAGAUCCCACCAGAGCGCCUUCUACUUCUAAUAGUCCAUGAACUAGAUUAGAAUCAUUCUCAACGAGUCCAUAAAAAGUAAUCCCAUUUUUUUCAUUGGGUACAGAUGAAGACCAAAGAUCCUGAACGACCAAUCUGGCAGAACAACUCAAAAGAUAAAGAAGUAUCAUUAAUCUCUUCAUGGUCGUUCCAAGCUUGAAGUACCAUUUGUACAAAUAAGAAUAGCCUUCGUUACAUCAUUUAUUAUUCAUAUAGAUAGAUAUAGGAUGUAUGGGGUAAUUACUUACAUUUUGUGCUAUAACUCUUCCUAUCUGAUAGAAAAGGAUCCUAUGAUCCAAAAUUGAUAUUACCUGGGAUCGUAAAUCCCAAGUUUGUCUAUGAAGAGCGUAUCUAAUUGUAUUAGUAUCUAUAGGACCUCAUUGGUAAGUUCUACAAGAUCUUGUGCAUUGGAACCCAUGGUUAUGGACCCGUAUCCGUUAGUAUGGAAUAUUUUCUUUUCGAAGUGAAAUCCCCUAGUAUAUGAAAGAGUGAAAAAGUACUUUCAUUGUUGUGGAAUAAGAAACCUUCGUAGCUUAAUGCAUGUAUUUAAUUUAUUUGGAGCUAUUAGAGCGGGGUCCACUUUUUGGGGAAUAUGACUCAAAGUAAUAAAAUGAAUAUUUCUAGUAGAACAUUUUUCACAAUCUCUGGAGAGAUAGUUAACUAAUAGACCAAGGGAUAAGUCAUUCGACUUAUUCACACCCAGAUCAUGAAUGUUUGGAAUCCAUAUUAUGCAAGGAUACAUUGCUUUUACUAAUUAGAAUUGAAGGGUGAUAUAAGAUCGAUCUAUUUCCAGCAUCAUAUCCACUGUUAGCCCAUUCAUCCUAGUUAGCAGCUCCAGCUCAGUAUCAAGGUCAUGAUCGAUAUCAACACUAGCAUCAAGAUUGUCACUAUCAUCAAUAUCAUCACUAUCAUCAAUAUCGAUCUCAUCAAGAAGAAAAUCUUUAGGCUUGUUAUCCAGGAACUUGUUCAGAAAUACCGUAAUAAAAGAAACAUAGAAGUUUAUUGCUAGGUAUUUGACCAAAUGGGAUUGUCCAGUUCCUAUAGAACCUAUCACUAAAAUACCCCUAGAGUGGGAUAAGGCUAAGUGGGACGAAAAGGGUUUUCCAUGAGAUGGGAAAUGAAAACUAUUUUCCCCACACGAAGUUUGUGAAUAAGUGAUUGUCUGAUAAUGAGCAAGGAAUAUCCGUAUUUCUGCUAAAUAGGAUGGAUUGAACUCAUAAUUCAUUAGAUAUUAUUCAAUUAUUUGAUAACCAAAGUCAUUCUUUGAUAAAUGAUCACUAUGAGUCAGACUCAAUAGAAUUUGAUCAAUCCUAUUUUCUAUUGUUAAGGUGGAGAACUGAACCAAGAAUUCUCUUUCUUAAUCAUGAAUUGAAUCAUUGUUCGCGACUUUGGAUUCUAUUUUCUCAUCAAUCCAAUCCCCAUUCACAUUUUUCUUUUUAUUAUCAAUGAAUAGAUAUCUUUACUUAUAUAAAGUGAUUCGAUUGAUGGACUUAUAUGACUUCCAAUCAUUCUUCUUAGAAUGUAUUAAUUUGACCCCAUAAGUGGGACCAAUCAUGUUGCCUCCAAAAUCAGAACCCUAUAUUUCUUCUAGAGAAUCUCCUAAUUGUUUCAGAGAAACUAGAAAGAGAUUCUUUAACCAGAAAGAAUUUGGUUUAUAUGUAGGAUACCUAUCCAGAAAUUUUCGCAACUCAAUUAUAGAUGAUGGAAUCAUCAAAUAUUUGACCUUUUUAAACUCUGUCUAUAACUCACUAGAGGCUCAGGAAAAAAAUAGAAGAUGUGUACGAACGAGAUAUCCAUCAACAAGAAGAAGAAAAAGUAUUAAAUAGAGGAACUCCCGAGCAUUUGGCGAUCUCAGAUGUGUCGAUAUCAAUGGUGACUAAUUAUUUUGAUGAAUAAUUUCUUUGGACAGAAGAAGAUUAUGUAAACACCUACUUGAGAUCUCACUUAUCAGAUUUCAUUAUGAAAGACACAAUUUUUUCUGAAGAAUUCGCCAUGAUAUACCUGAUCCAUGCAUAAUAUCAGGUAAAGUGGAUACAAAUUUUUGAUUGCUACUUAGUAUUGGCAAUAGUUCAGAAAAAGUAUCUAAAAAUAUCAAAUUUAGAUAUUUGUACCCUGUCGAAGUAAGGAACCAUGGCAUACAUGUUUGGAAUAGAUUCCAUUUUGAGUAGAAUAGAUUUCAUUUUGAGAGAGUUGAAAAAGCACUAAUUCCAUUUUGAGAGAGUUGAAAAAGCGCUAUCUCGUUGAAAGUUUCUAUACAUCUGCCCUUUCUCAAUGCAUAUCUUUAGACAAAGACUCUAUUUUUUCCUCUUUUUGGAUGAUAAAUCUUUCUCAGAACAUGGAGUGUGAAUCAAACCCAUGUUUGAAUUGAAAUUGAGAUACUGAUGCAAGUUCUUCCCUUCUGAAUUAGAUAGAUUCAUACCUGAAAGAGGUUGACAAUAAGUUCGUUCAAAAUUGACUAUUUUCCCCCCUGUUAGAGGUGUUCCAGAAAUGUCUGCGAUUGAGUAAAUAGCUCUACAAAUGAAUGGAUCGGAUUGACUUGGAAAAUGGAAAUAUUAGUACAAGUUAUACGUUUCGUCACCACUUUAUGGAAAAUCAUUAGGUAUGAAUAUGUUAGAUACCUGUGACUCGAUUGGUGAAAUAGUAUCUUUCCCCAAAAAGCAUGUUUUUUUUUACCAACGCACAAAAAAAUAUUUUAUGGCAAAUGAAUAAGAUAUUGAGGAAUUGUCCAUACCUAAAAUCAGAAUUAUUGAUACGGGCCUUUUCCACAGAAAAGGGGAAUCUUGUGUUCCAAUAGAAGUAGAAGUGCUGGGGAUUAUUCAAGAAUCAAAGUCGAUUUUCUUUAUAAAAAGAAGAUAUCAAUGAACUUCUAUGAAAUGGUUUCACGGGAUUCAGCCAAUUGUCUUGAUUGUGGAAUAUCAUUGAGAAAUAGUAAUCUGGGUUAUCAAAGGAUUUUCUGCAAUUAUUUCUAGUAUGGAAUGAGUCAAUUAUCCACUUUGUUAUCUUAUUGAAUAAAAAUGGUGAUAUUGUUCCUCCAUUGAUCAAGAAUUUCAAAUUUUGGGAAGUAUCAUGAUCGUCCAAUAAGAAGGGUUUCAAUUUUUGGAAAUGAACAACUUGAAGACCUAUUGAUUAUAACAACUGAUUGCAGACUUGAUCAUUCGAACCUUUCAAUUCAUAAAUAUAGAUCUCUGACCUAUUAAUGGGAAUAUUUUCAAAACUCAAACAGAAAAAAGGAAGUGUGUAAGACAAAAAUAAAAGCAACUUGGACAAAGAAAAAAGUGACUUUGACAAAAAGAAAUGAAGUAGCGCAGACAAAUCUUUUUGUCGAUAACCUCUGAUCAAUCAUAGUUUAUCAAUAAUAUGCAUGAAAAGCACUUCGAAUUGUUGACUAAUCGUUAGAGAUGGCAUAAAACCAAUAGUUCAUUAUCUAAUGGAUCUUUCCAUUCUAAUACUCUAUCCGAGAGUUAUUAGUAUUUAUCAAAUUUGUUCCUAUAUAACGGAAUACUAUUGGAUCAAAUGGAAAAGACAUUGUUACGAAAAAUAUGGCUUUUCUCAGAUGGAAUAAAAAUUGGAUUCAUGUAAUAGGAGAAAGAUUUCCCAUUCCUUAGCCAGAAAGAUAUGUGGCCAUGAAAGAGGGAUUAAGUGGAAUAGAAUUGACUGGGUGGUAGAGUCGUGGAAAUGCUUGUUUCUUCCAUAUUUUGGACCUUAGCCCCAUGGAAGAAUAUGUUACUACUGAAAUAUGGAAGAAUUGAAAUAUUAGAUCAAAACACUAUGUAUGGAUGGUAUGAACUGCCUAAACAAGAAUUCUUGAAUAGAAAACAACUAGUUUAGAUAUUCAUGACCAAGAAGUACUGGAUUCUCUUUUGGAUAGGCCCUGAAAGGAGAAGGAAGGCUGGAAUGCCAACAGGCAUCUAUUAUAUUAAAUUUAUGCGAUAGUCCCCAUUUUGGGAACGUCUAGUACCAAAGUUAGAAUGGGUAAGUCGCCAAUCCAUGGACUAUGUAAUGUACUUUAUCUGCUAGGUUACGGGUGGACAUUUUACUAGAGGUUUCUAAUCUACCUUUGUGUGAUUCUUGUUGAAGCAUAUACUCGGGGGGUUGGUGCAGGGAGAACGAUUUAAAAGAGGACUCCCCGUUCAUUAGAUCGAGAAGAUCACUAAGAUUUCGCGAUCCGCUGCCAAAUUUAUUCCAAUUUAGAAUGCUCAUUCAAUGAGCAUUCUCAAUAUUAUGUCUUGAAGAGGACUCAAACCUGUACGAUCUUUAGAACAAGAUUUUAAGUCUCACGUGUCUACCAUUUCACCACUAAGGCAUCUUGAAAGUGAAUCAUAUUCUAUGAAUAUGAUAUCUAUCUAGUGUAAUGUAUGGAAUAUAUGAUAAAGCCGGAUCUAUUGAUCGGUCAUGUUAUAUAGGUCCGAGUUGGAUAUCCAAUUGCUUCUAUUUGAAUUAUCUAGAGAAUGCAAUGCCUGAUAUAUAUCAAAAAGAUGGACAAUCAAACCUAUUUCUCGAUUCACUCAAAGAGGUGAGUAGGGUCCCAAUAGAGAUAUGUAAAAAGCAGGUCCGAUUACGUGUAUUCCUAAUCCUAAAUGGAAUGUAAUAUGUAAACAUAGUAUCUAUUUAGAUAGGCCCAAAUGGACCCUUCUCAUAAUGAGAAUAUAUAUAACCCUAUUUUGUCCUGGUCCGGUAUAGAAUAAACUUAUAAUCAUGGAAUCGACUCGAUCAUUAGAUUAUAAGUUCAUAACCCUAGACCAUUCCCAUUUUAGGUGGAACGGAUCUACUAAUUCUUUGAUUCCAAUUAGAAAGAGGGACCUUGAACUAAGAAAUAGACCCUAGAAGCUAUAAAAGGCUAUCCUAAGCAAUUGCAAUAAUCGGGUUCAUUGAUAUUCCUGGUAUAGAAGAUACUAUCACACAUACAAUCAUACUCAAUUCGAUGUAGUUAUUUGAUCUUAAAGGGGAUCUUCUAUAAUUUUGUACGUGAGGGGUUAUUUCUUGGUUUCAUCCAAUCAUUAAUAACUUGAUUAUUUUUAGAUAAUAGUAGAUAGAAACAACGUUUGUAAGGAGUCCUAUUAAAGCCAAGAAAUAUAGGCCUACCAUCCACACCAGAAUAAAUAGAGUUUUCCUAAAAACCUGCUAGUAGAGGAAGACCUCCUAGGGAUAAGAGACAUAGGGCUAAAGAGACAGCCAAAAAAGGAUUUUUUGUGUAUAAUCCUGCAUAUGAAAAUCAUCCACGCUUGAAACGUAUCUUAAUUCCUGAAAGUUGGAUAGGAUGGCCCUUAUGUAAGGAUUAUAUUACCACCAAUUUUUAUGAAAUACAAGAUGCUCAUUGAAUGAUAAAAAGCUAUUUCUACUUAGACAAAUUAAGAUAUUCAAGGAUUGCACGUUCUGUUCUAGAUUAAGCAGGUCUAAUUUAGGGAAUUAUCAAUAGGCUAACAAAAAAAGACAAUUAGGGAUUCAUUGUAAUUCUCACAUUUAUUUGGAAGAUACUUAUUUCGGAUGAGUCACACCAAUAGGAUGAACCAAAUGAGUUCUGCAUCAUGAACUGUGUACUACACACAUUACUUAGACGGGUUCUAGAAGGGCAUAUAGGAAGGGAUGGAGAAAUAUGGAAUGAAGAAAUCAAAUAUGAAAGAAAAGACAAAGAAAUUAUAGAAUCUUGAAUUCUAUUUCUUUGUAUCUGAGCUGAAUCUUGUCUAUUUCAACCCUCCUAGAUUCGACUUUUGAGUCUGUUAACAAUUAACCAAUUUUACCUUUCGAAUAUGAAUUACUUAUUCAAAUUCGUUUGAAUGAGAAGAGAAAAAAAAAGAGGAGAUAGAAUCCAAUUCUUUUCGAUACUUUAUCUAAGAAACUCUACCCAUCUAGAACAUAGAUGGGGUAUAUCUCGCCAAACUGGAUAAAGCUAUUAUUCUAAUCUAGACUCUAAAAGAAUAAGUAUGUUGAUUCAUAUCAAUUAAUUAGAAAUUAAUUCUAGCGAUGAGAGACCCAUACAAAUUAAUCAUGUGCCAGGAACCAGAUUUGAACUGGUGACACAAGGAUUUUCAGUCCUCUACUCUACCAACUAAGCUAUCUCAGCUAUUCCCAAUCCAGAUUUUUAUCAAGGUUGGGACUGGUACCCAAGGAUUUUUAGGGCUAUACCAAUCCCAAUUCGAACCUUGAACACAAGGAUUUAGAAUCCUCCGGUAUUCCUAAUUGGAAUUGGUGGAAUGAGGAUUUACAACCCUUUGGUCUACCAAUCCCAAUUGAAACCUCGAACAUGAGAAUUUUCAGUCCCUGUUAAUAGGAGGAUUUAAAGUCCUCUGGUCUUCCCAAUUAGAACCAUUCGUUAACAUGAGGAUUUUUAGUUCUCUACUUGUUAGUCUAAUUUUAUCUUAACAAAUUUGAUCUUAACACAUAAACGAGUCUUUGUCGAUUAAAAAGACAAAAGUCGAUUAAACUUUUUUAUCAAAGUCGGGGAAUUUCUUCGAUCUUCAAAAGGAUGAGUUUGUAAGUUUCAGUAUUGAGUAGUGAUAUUGGUAAUCAUUCAACUAGAUAUUCCUUGAUCAAAGGUGUUCAGUUCUAUGUGUAUCAUAUAUAUCACAAGGCUUAAGAGAAAGCCAUUUACACUAAAAUCCAUUUCCAAAAGAAUAGAGUGAAUAAGAAAGAUAAGUAAUUUGUAACUGCUAAGGAAAGGGGGUCAGAGAAAUAGUUGGGGGUUGAAAUAGUCUUUUUGAGGAUAGAGGGACUUGAACCCUCACGAUUUUAAUAGUCGACAGAUUUUCCUCUUACUAUAAAUUUCAUUGUUGUCGGUAUUGACAUAUAGAACAGGACUCUAUAUUUAUUCUUUUUCGAUUAAUCAGUUCUUCAAAAGAUCUAUCAGACUAUGGAGUGAAUGAUUUGACCAAUGAAUAUUCGAUUCUUUCUUCAAUGUAGAAUAGAUUCACACCAAUUCUUCUAUUUUUUAUAGAAAAACUAAGGAUUCGGGUCGUCUUUAAUCAUUUGAUAUAGUAUUUAAUACGUAUGUAUAUACGUUUAUCCUUCACUUCAUUCUUUUUCUUUCUAAAUUUUUGAUGAAAAGAUUCCUCUACCAACGCAUUUAACUCCAUUUGUUAGAAAAGCUCCCAUUGAGUCUGUACACCUAACCUUUUUUCUGAACCUUUAUUUGUUUUCAGAAAAUAGGAUUUGGCUCAGGAUUGCCCAUUUUUGUUCAUUCCAGGGUUUCUCUGAAUUUGAAAGUGAUUACUUAGUAAGUUUCUAUACCAAGGCUCAAUCCAAUUAAGUCCGUAGCGUCUACCGAUUUCUCCAUAUCCCCCUUUCUUUUUGUUUUGAGAUUAGGAUCUCGUUGUUAUGUCAUUCCUUUUUCUUUUUUCUUUCAUUUAUACUGGAACCACUGAAUUCAUUAGAUACCGAUUCUUAUCUCGAAAACGUAUUUUCUCCUCUUUGAUUUUCUUAACUAUCUUCUAUAGGUGACCUUUUUUUGUCCAAUCAAAAAUGAUUUUAUCAUUUUGGAAUCCACAAUUCAAUAUAGAUGAAUCUAUAACCCAUCUAUAUGUCCCUCUUCCUGUCAUUUUUCCAUUCAAUUUGGAAUACUUGAAUGAUCGAUUCUUAUUUUUUAUCUUUACUUUCGCCUGAAAGCGGAGGAAUAUCUCAUUAAUUAUAACUAACCAUUCCAUUAAAUAAUUUUGAAAUAAAUAUAGAAUGAGAGAUAUAUAUGAUAUUGAAUCAAAUAUAGAAUAAAAGAUUUCAAAUGCCAAAAAAAGAAAUGAAAAAGAAUAUUUACCAUUCAAAUUGAAAAUGAAAAUAAAAAGAAUAUUAACAAUAUUUGCAAUCACUAUUUAAUGAUAUUAGUAUUAGAAUUGUUAUUAGAAUUGUGAUAAAUCGAAAUUCUAGAUCGCUAUAGUAAUCCUUAUGCUCUAGAAUCUAGUAUAUUCAAUAUAAUAUUGAAUAGCUAAUAAUUCCAAUUCUAGUAGUUUAGGCAAUUACUAUGCAUAUAAAAUUUCUGUGAUGUGGGUCCGCUUAGCUCAGAGGUUAGAGCAUCGCAUUUGCAAUGCGAUGGUCAUCGGUUCGAUUUCGAUAGCCGGCUUUUCCCUUUUAUUUGAUUUCAAAGAAAAAUUAUCAAUCAUCUAAAAAUAAAAAAUGAAAAAAAAAAAAGAAUAGGGAAAUAGCGCCUUCCUCCUUUUCCAAAAGCUAUCAAUUUAUUAUAAGAACUUCCAAUUAUGUCAGGAAAGGAUUAUAUGUAUAAUAGAAGGGGUUCGGUAUAUUAAUCCAAUUCACCCCAUUCUUCUAUUCUUUAUAGUAUUUAUAUUAAAUAGUAAUAGUACAAGUACACUAUUUCAGUAAACUUCGCUUCAUUUAGUUCAGUUUAGUUUUAGUUUAGGUUUAUUCUGUAAAAUAAAAUUCAAUAAAAAUAAAUAGAAAUAAGAAUUAAUUCAAAAUACUAAAUAACAAAUAAGAAUAAGGAGUCUUUAUGUCGCGUUAUAGAGGACCUCGUUUUAAAAAAAUACGACGCCUGGGGGCUUUAUCAGGACUAACUAAUAAAAACCAUAGGACCGAAAAUGAUCUUAGAAACCAAUCACAUUCCGGAAAAAAAUCUCAAUAUCAUAUUCAUCUAGAAGAAAAAUAAAAAUUGUGUUUUCAUUAUGAUCUUACAGAACGAUAAUUACUUAAAUACGUUCGUAUCGCCAGAAAAUCCAAGGGGUCAACAGGUCAAGUUUUACUACAAUUACCUAAAAUGCACUUGGAUAACAUCCUUUUUCGAUUGGGUAUGGCUUCAACUAUUCCCGCAGCCCGUCAAUUAGUUAACCAUCGAUAUAUUUUAGUUAAUGGCCGUAUAGUAGAUAUACCAAGUUAUCGCUACAAACCCCAAGAUAGUAUUACGGCAAAGGAUGAACCAAAAUCCAGAGCUAUGAUUCAAAUUUCUCUAGAUUCAUCCCCUCAUGAGGAAUUAACAAAUCAUUUGACCCUUCACCCAUUCCAAUCAAAUAAUAGAUAGUAAAUGGGUCGGUUUGAAAAUAAAUGAAUUGCUAGUCGUAGAAUAUUAUUCUCGUCAGACUUAAACCUCAAACUAAAAUCAAGGGUUCAUAAAAUUUUCUUCCCUUUAGGUGAAGUAAAUUAACCCAAGGUUAAGUAAGAUAAAUCUGAGUUUUAUCUGAAUUUCCCCUAUUUUUGUAUCAUAGAACAAGGAUCUAUUUUCAUUCCUUAUUUUCAUUCCUUGUCUACUUUUUUCUUUCCAGUAUUUUGAUUAUGAUUAUGUUUUAGUAUUCCAUUUUACACGUCAAAGCAAUUAGGAAUUUAGAAUAUGUAUCUUUAGAUCAAAGAAGGGUCUAGCUAUUGCAAUAAUGGUAUCCAUUGCUAUUUGAACCCUUGUUAUUAGUAAAAUUGGUGAAUUAAAUGAAGGUACAAAAAGAGAGGGAUUCGAACCCUCGGUAAACAAAAGCCUACAUAGCAGUUCCAAUGCUACGCCUUGAACCACUCAGCCAUCUCUCCUACAUAAUGAUUAUGAACCCAAAACCGAGUUAAUAGCGAGCCAGUCAUAACCCAUAUUCCAUUAUUAGACUAGGUACGACCAAUCCAUUUUAACUUUAACUAAAAAUUUGUCAUCAAAGUCAAAGCAAAGAACGGUUUUUCUUUCCUUCGAGGCUCUGGGAUAAAGAUACAAUUUUCAUAAAAAUUGUUAAAAAAAUUUAAUUCAUGUUUGCAAAAGCAAUGUUCCGUUAUUUUUCUGAUAUUUUUAUAAUAGAUUAAUUCAAUGAAUUAGAACGAAUCAACUGAUUGAUGGUCUAUAUCUUUUAGACUAUAGUUAAUGACUACUGUUAAAUCAUAAUUCUAAUUAUAUAGAUAUAGACUAUAAUUCCAUACCAUAAAAUUUUUCAAAUUUCUUUUCGGUUUUGGAGUUCUCAAUAACAAAUACCUACCCCUCUAUUAGAAUAGAAAUUCAUAAAAAAUCUGAGAUUUUAUUGUAUAGUGUAUACCCGUUAUAUACACAAAAUUGUCAGUUAUUCUAUUUUCAUCAUAGAAUGAUUAUUCGAUCUUUUUUCUUCUUUGUAAUUUGUAUCAUGAUUUAAUCAAAAUUUCUCGAGUUCUUCUAAUUUGUAACAUCACCGAAAUCAGAAUAGUUCCUAUACUAUGAAAUCGAUCCGCGUUGAAAUAUUUCUUAAUUUUUAGCGACUUUUGUCAAAAAGGAACAAUUGGAAUAGUGGAUUCAUAUGUUUUGUUAUUUCUUAAAAAACAAUAAGGUUUUAUGUUAUUUCAUACUAUAUAAUUCUUUUCUUUGUGGGAUCUUUUUCUCACGAGAGGUAAUAAGAAGAAUUCUAGAAUGGAUUGCUACCUAUGCCUAGAUCAUGUAUAAAUGGAAAUUUUAUUGAUAAAACCUUUUCAAUUGUAGCCAAUAUCUUAUUAAAAGUAAUUCCGACAACUUCAGGAGAAAAAGAGGCAUUUACCUAUUACGAAGAUGGUGCGAUUUGAUUCUUUUUUUAUUUCACAUUUAUUCAUUUCUCUUAGUUUCAUGAGGAGAAAAACACAUGAUUCAAGAAAGUUUUUGAAAAAAAAAUCUAUGCAUUUUGAAGGUGAAGUUUGGAAAUUGAACAAUUCAUUCUGUCAUGUAUCCUUGAUUAAUGCAACCUCAGAUGCUAUGUUUCAGUUCUCGAUUCUAGUAUUAAGAGAAAGGUUACACCUAGAGGUUCUGUAUCAUAGGUCAAUCCUACUCUACUAGCGCUAAUAGGCAGCAUAGGGGAAGAAGUGCUACACCUAGGAAUCAACAACACGAAAACUUUGUUCUAAGUUAGCCCUUCCCUUAGCGGGCUUGGGACUAAAAGAAUGGUUGGGAUAACAAACAUCCAUCUCGUUCAUCCUUUGGAUACCCAUAUAACCAUCGAAGGCUAUUGGAGUAACUAAUUCCUGUAAAUUAGGAGGAAUUAGAAAUAAAGAAAUUGUUUGAGUUAUCUUAUCAUUUCUAUCUAGUCCCAAUAGGCUUGAUGUUAAGAAAGAAUCUCUUGCAAGAAGGUUGGCUAGAGAUUUCUUGCAAAUAUUCACUUGGAGGCUUUGUGGAUAUUGUUAUGGACUUGGGUGUUUUUGGUUAUUGGUUAUUGGAUAUUUAGUUAUCUUAGAUUCAUUUGAACUUUUAUAUAUUAUCUUUCUAUAUGUUUGGAAUUCAGCCUCUGUUGUGCAUUAUGUUUUGUUUGACGAGGCAACGGGGUGGUCUCCGGUACUUGGUGGACUUGAGAUAGUUGUCACAACCAGGCCCUGGUUCAAAUCAUGACAAAGUUGGUAUUAGAACCUAAUUUUGGUGUAUUUUGGUGUCCAUAAAGCCAUGUCAAGUAGAGUCUCAUUUAUAGGUGUGUAGCGUACCAUACAUAUAAGAAAGAUGAUACACAGUAUUUAGGAAUGUUUUCCUUUCUUGUGAUCUACUUUUGGGCUGUAGAGUCUAGGGUGUUGAAAUCUCCUAUAAUUCUUUUUCGUUCAUUUUUUAGAUCAUGCCUCCUAGAAAAUUUGAUUCUUAUGGAAACUCUUCUGUCCCGCUUCAGGAUAAUGUGGAUAGGGCUCAUCCUACCCAUAGAGUUUCUACCCGAUUAAGAUCACUGCUUCUGAUUUCCCAAGUGGAGUUCUAUUGGUCCCCACUGAUCCUUCUCUACUGGUAAUACUCCUGCUCGGUCACCUCUAAUAGAUAUUAUCAAUAUCGAUUUCCAUCAUUCCAUUCAUCUACUGACCCAGUUUGUGAUAUCUUAGUCACAUUAGUUGGGUCCUACUGGUGUUGUGUAAGUUCUUCUGAGGCUACUAAGGUUGGCCAGUUCAUGAGGCUUAAUCCUCCAAGCUUUACUGGCUCUAAGGUUGAGGAAGAUCCUUAAGGGUUCAUAGAUGAGAUAGAGAAAAUUUUUUGUGUGAUGCAUUCUUCUCACUCUGAGGGUGAGUAAUUUACUGCACACCAGCUGAACGAUGUGGUGUAUCAGUGGUAUGAGAAGCGAGAUUAGUAUAGGGGAGAUAAUGCAAAGUUGGCUUUAUGAGAGAAUUUCUCUAGUGCUUUUCUUGAUCUGUUCUUUCCUCAAGAUUUGAGAGAGGCAAAGACUGAAGAGUUUAUGAAUUUGAAGCAAGUCAAGAUGGCUGUGAAGGAGUAUGCCUCAAAUUUUCAAUAGUUGUCCCGUUAUGCCCCAGAGCUAUUGUCUAGUAUGAGGGCUAAGAUGAGGAAGUUUCCUUUUGGCUUGUCUCGAGACUUGAUGUUGAAGUGUAAGGUUACCUUGAUAAAUAAUGACAUGGAUAUCUCUUGACUUAUGGUGUAUAUACAACAGGUCGAUGAGGAAAAUAAGAAACAAACUGAAAUAGGGGAGAGGCAAAGUAAAAGAUUCUAGUUUUUUUUAUCAAGGGGGUGUCUAGUAGAGUAGUGGUAAGGAUGGCAAGUAAUGGUCUAAGAAGAAGUGGGGGAAUUGUGGUUCUUAUUCUACGUCUAUUUCUCCUAUCCUAAGACACCUAGUGAUCGCCGCUUUCAUAGCAACAACGGGUUUAAGGCACAAGGUGACCAAUCUCAGGAUGGUGGUCCCCAAUUGGAUCCAUCUCAUCCUCCUUAUAGAUUUUAUGGAUAGUUGCACCAUGGAUUUUAUGAUGAGCAGAGGCAUAAGUGUUUCAGAUGUAGUCAACCUAGCCAUAUUCAGAGGGAUUAUCCUUCAGGCGAUAUUGCUACUGGGGCUAAUAAGGUCCCGGUUGCUUUGUCUUUAACUCCUGGGCAAAAGGGUGCUACUUCUAGAUCCGGCAGUGAUCAGAACCAUCUAUAUGCUCUUGCCAUCCAUCAAGAUUCUAAGGAAUCUCCUGAUUUUGUUAGUGGUACAUUAAAACUCUUCUUUCGUGAUUUAUAUUAUCUGCUUGAACCCAGAUCUACUCUCUCUUAUGUGACCCGUUAUGUAGCUAUUCAUUUUGGUCUUCAUCCUAAGUAUAUUCCAGAUCACUUUUCUAUGACUACACCAUUGGGUGACUCUUAUUAUUGUUAGAAGAGUCUAUAAGGGUUGUGUGAUAUCUAUUUAUGGUAGGGUGACAUUAGUGGACCUGAUUGAAUUAGACAUGUUAGACUUUGAUGUGAUUUUAGGGAUGGAUUGGUUGCAUUUGUGCUAUGUGUCUCUUGAUUAUUGGACCUGAAAGGUCAGUUUUUAAUUCCCAAAUGAUCUGGUGAUUGAGUGGGAAGGUAGUUCCCUAGUGCACAAGGGAAGGUUUUUAUCUUAUUUUAGAGCCCAAAAUAUAAUUUCCAAGGGGUGUGAGUUUAUCCUUGUGGACUAUGAAUUUCCAGAUGAUCUUCUAGGUGUUCUUCCUGAUAGGGAAAUAGAUUUUAAGGUUGAUCUUCUUCCUAAUACUCAUCCUAUCUCCAUCACUCCCUAUAAAAUGGCUCUAGCUAAAUUAAAAAAAAAAGUUAAGGAGUAGUCAAAAGAUCUUCUAGAUAAGAGGUUUUAUUUGCCCUCGUGUUUCUCCUGGGGUGCUCCGGUUUUCUUCAUGCAUAAGAAGGAUGGGUCCUUUAGAAUGUGUAUAUAGAUUACCGCCAAUUAAAUAGGAUAAUCGUAAAUAAUAAGUAUUAUCUGUCUCGAAUUGAUGAUUUUUUUUACUAACUUUCGGAUGCUAAGUACUUUUCUAAGAUUGAUCUUCGAUCUGGGUACCAUAAACCAAAGAUUAGGGAGGUGGAUAACUCUAAGACUUCUUUUCAAACCCGAUAUGUUCAUUUUGAAUUUUUAGUGAUGUCAUUUGGUUUGACUAAUUCCCUAAUGACCUUAAUGGGUCUUAUGAACUGGGUCUUCUAUCAAUUUUCUGAUUUGUUCGUAAUUAUGUUUUUUGAUGAUAUUUUGGUGUAUUCAAAGAGUGAGGUGAAUUAUGCUGAUAACCUUUACAUAGUGUUACAGACCCUUAAUUUUCAACGGUUGUAGGCAAAAUUCUCGAAGUGUGAGUUUUAGUUGAAUGUUGUGACCUAUCUAGGCUAUGUUUUUUCUAGUAAAGAUAUCAUGGUGGAUCCACAAAAAAUUGUGGUGUUUAAGAAAUGGCCUAGACCCACGACUCCAAGCGAUACUCAAAGCUUCUUGGGUUUAGACGAUUAUUAUAGGUCUGUAGAAAGUUUCUCUUCCAUUGGGCCCAUUUCUAAAUAUGACUCAGAAAAAGGUAAUGUUUAUAUGGUCUGAUGCUUGUGAGGGUAGUUUCGAGAAGUUGAAUAAUAAUUUGACUUCAGCUCUGGUUUUGACUCUGCCCGAGGGUACUAAUGAUUUCGUUGUUUAUUUUGAUGCAUCCCGGGUGGGACUCGAUUCUGUGUUGAUACAGCAUAGCGGCGUGGUUGCAUGUGCUUCUAGGAAGUCGAAGAUACAUGAGAAGAAUUAUUCGACACAUGAUUUGGAAUUGUUGGUUGUGGUCUUUACUUUGAAGAUUUGGCAUCACUAUUUGUAUGAGGUUUAUGUUGACAUCUUCUCAGACCAUAAAAGUUUACAGUAUGUGUUCUCCCAGAAUGAGCUAAAUCUCAGGCAGAUAUGGCUUGAGUUGCUCAAGGACUAUGACAUAAAUAUUCAUUAUCAUCCAGGUAAAGCUAAUGUAGUUGCUAAUGCUCUUAGCAGGUUAUCCAUGGGGAGCUUGUCCCAUGUUGAUAAGGAGAAACAAGGCUUGGUAAAGUAUAUUCACUAAUGGAUAGUUUUGGAAUUCAUCUUUUGGACUCUGAGGAUGGUGGUGUGAUUGUACAAGAGGUGGUAAAGUCAUCUUUUGCUGUUGAGGUAAAGAAGAAACAGGUCUUGGACCCUAUUUUGAUGUAGAUCAAGGAUGAUGUGGGUCACCAGAAGGUGAUGGCCUUAAAGAUUGGUGGAGAUGGUAUCUUGAGGUACCAAGGUAGAUUAUGUGUUCCUAAUAUUGAUGGGCUACGAUAGAAGAUCUUUGAUGAGGCUCAUGAGUCAAGAUAUACUAUUCAUUAUGGUUCAAUGAAGAUGUACCAUGAUUUAAAAGAGAUCUAUCCAUAGAAUAACAUGAAGAGAGGUGGAAAAUUUUGUGGCUAAGUGAAUUGUGUGUCAACAAGUGAAGGUUGAGCACUUGAGGCCUGGUUGUUUGUCUCAAGAAAUUGAAUUGCCCAUGUGGAAAUGGAAAGUGAUUAAUAUGGAUUUAGUUAUUGGUCUUCCACGGUCUCUCCAUCAGUUUGAUUCAAUUUGAGUCAUUGUGGAUAGGAUGACCAAGUUUGCUCAUUUCCUACGAGUAAAGACUAAAUAUUCGGCAGAAAAAUAUGCUAAGCUCUUCAUUCAAGAGAUUGUGUAGUUGCAUGGUUCUCCAAUUUCCAUCAUAUCUAAUCGAAGUACUUAGUUUUUAUCUCAAAUUUGGCAUUCCUUUUAGAGAGUUUUGGGAACUAAAGUGAACCUUAGCACUUCUUUCCAUCCUUAGAUGGAUGGACAGGCGAAGAGGAUGAUACAGACUUUGGAGGAUAUGAUAAGGUAUUGUGUGAUCAAUUUUGGUGUUAGUUGGGUUGAUCUUUUGCCUCUCAUAGAGUUGUGUAUAAUAAUAGUUAUCAUUCUAAUAUUGGGAUGGCUCUUUUUGAGGCUUUAUAUAGUAGGAGGUGUAGGUUUCCUAUUGGGUGGUUUGAGGUUGGUGAGAAUAGGUUGUAUGGUCCCAACUUGGUUCACCAAGAUAUAAAUACGGUGAAGGUUAUUUGGGAUAGGAUGAAGACGUCCCAAAGUCACCAAAAGUCCUAUGCAGAUGUAAGGUGAAGUGUUUUAGAGUUUGAUGCGGAUGAUUUAGUAUUCUUGAAGGUGUCUUCCAUGAAGGGAGUGAUGAGGUUUGGAAAUAAGGGGAAUCUCAGUCUUUGUUCUGUUGGUCCAUAUUGUAUUUGGAGGUGAGUAGGUAAUGUGGCUUAUGAGUUGGAUUUGGAAGAUCUAUCUCGUGUCUGGUACUGUAUGGUUCCACUCUGACAGAACCCCGAAUCAUUCUCUUAAAGAUCAUCCUCUUCAUCAUAAAUGAUCCGUUUGUCCUGAAAUGACAUGGACCAAGUAGGGAAAUCCCAAUUCAUUGGGCCUUUCGAUACAAUCAAAUAGAAAAAAUAGAAAGCCCCAAGGGUGCCAUAUUCGAGGAGAAAUAACUAUGUGAUUGAAUAAAUUCUCCUGCGGGUCAAGGGCUCCAUCUCCCUCCCCUUCUUUAAACUCCGAUUGAUAUUUUUCAUAGAUAAAUCUCUGAUCAAGGAUAUACCAAGAGCCCUUUUGCAUCAUAUCUGUGGGAUUCCUCUGUUCGGGCCAGAGAAACAAUGUCACUCGAUCAUUAUCAAAUUGACUGCUAUCUUUUUCUGUCUGUGAAGAUCCCACUAGAGUGCCUUCUACAUCUAAUAGGCCAUGAACUAGAUCAGAAUCAUUCUCAACGAGUCCAUUAGAAGUGAUCCCAUUUUUUUCAUUAGGUUUGAAUAAAGAUCAAAUAUCUUGAAAGACAGAUUAGGCAAAACAACUCAAACGAUAAAGAAGUAUAGUUAAUCUCUUCAUGCUCGUUCCAAGCUCUAAGUACCAUUUGUAUAAAUAAGAAUACCAUUCGUUACAUGAUUUCUUCUUCAUAUAGAUAGAUAUAGGAUCUAUGGGGGUAAUUACUUACAUUUUGAGCUACAACCCUUCCUAUCUGAUACAAAAGGAUCCCAUGAUCCUGAACCGAUCUUACCUGGGAUAGCAAAUCCCAAGUUUGUCUAUGAAGAGCGGAUCUAAUUGUAUUAGCGUCUAUAAUUGAUUUUUUCUGUGCAAUACUAAUCGAUAGGACCUCAUUGGUAAAUGCUACAAGAUCUCGUGCAUUGAAACCCAUGGUUAUGGACUCGAAUCCAUUAGUAUGGAACAUUUUCUUUUCCAAGUAAAAUCCCCUAGUAUAUAAAAGAGGAAAAAAUGCUUUCAUUGUUGUGGAAUAAGAAACCUUCGUAACUUAAUGCACGUAUUUAAUUUAUUUGGAACUAUUAGAUUGGGAUCCACUUUUUGGGGAAUAAUAGUCGAAGCAAUAACAAGAAUAUUUCUAGCAGAACAUCUUUCACAAUCAUUGGAGAGAUGGCUCACUAAUAGACCGAGGGAUAAUUCAUUUGACUCAUUCACACCCAGAUCUUGAAUGUUUGGAAUCCAUAUUAUGAAAGUAGACAUUGCUUUUGCUAAUUCAAACUGAAGGGUGAUAUAAGAUCGGUCUAUUUUCGGCAUCAUAUCCACAGUUAGCCUAUUCAUACUAGUUAACAGUUCCAGCUCCGUAUCAAGGUCACGAUUGAUAUUGUCACUAGCAUCAAAAUUGUCACUAGCAUCAAGAUUGUCACUAUCAUCAAUAUUGUCACUAUCAUCAAUAUCGAUCUCAUUAAGAAUAAAACCUUUAGGUUUGUUAUCCAGGAACUUGUUCAGAAAUACCGUAAUGAAAAGAACAUGGGAGUUUGUCUCUAGUUAUUUGACCAAAUAGGAUCAUCCAGUUCCUAUAGAACCUAUCACUAAAAUACCCAUAAAGGGGUAUAGGGAUAAGCGGAGCAAAAAGUGUUUUUCAUGAGAUGUGAAAUGAAAACUACACGAAGUUUAUGAAUAAGUGAUUGUCUAAUAAUGAGCAAGGAAUAUCCGUCUUUAUGCUAAAUAGGAUGGAUUGAACUCAUAAUUCAUUAGAUGCUUUUUAUGAAUGUCAACUAAGUAUCGUAAGUAGAUUGAUCCCAGUUGUUCAAUCAUUUGAUAACCAAAGUCAUUCUUUGAUAAAUGAUCACUAUGAGUCAGACUCAAUAGAAUUUGAUCAAUUCUAUUUUUUGUAGUUAAUUUGGAGAACUGAACCAAGAAUUCUCUUUCUUCAUCAUGAAUCGAAUCACUGUUCAUGACCCAGGAUUCUAUUUUCUCAUCAAUCCAAUCCCCGUUCACGUUUUUUCUUUUACUUAUCAAUGAAUAGAUCUCUUUACUUGUAUAACUUAAAUGUCUCCUAAUUCUGAAAAAAGUGAUUCAAUUGAUGGGAUUUGGUAUGAGAUCGAUGAUCUUGAUGAGAUUGAUAUUCCAAUAUUUCUUGUUAGAAUAUAUUGAUAAAAACCAUAAGAGGGACCAACCAUGUUGCCUCCAGAAGCAGAACCACAUAUUUUUUCUAGAGAAUCUCUUAAUUAUUCCAGAGCAACAAGAAAGAAAUUCUUUAACCAGAAAGAAUUCGGUUCAGAUGCAGGAUACCUAUCUAGAAGUUUUUGCAACUCAAUUAUAGAUGAUGGAAUCAUCAAAGAUUUGACCUUUUUGAACUCUGUCUAUAACUCACUAGAGGAUCGGGAAACAAAGAGAAGAUGUGUACGAACGAGAUAUCCAGCAAUAAGAAGAAGGAAAAGUAUUGAAUAGAGGAACUCCCGAGCAUUUGGCAAUCCCAAAUGUGUCGAUAUCAAUGGUGACUUAUUAUUUCAAUGAAUCAUUUCUUCUGACAGAAAAAUAUUAUGUAAACACUUACUCAAGAUCUCACUUAUCAUAUUUCAUUAUGGAAGACACAAUUUUUUCUGAAGAAUUCACCAU
rnacentral:lncRNA from 1 species